rnacentral:rRNA from 1 species
AUGAACGCUGGCGGCGUGCCUAAUACAUGCAAGUCGAGCGAACAGACGAGGAGCUUGCUCCUCUGACGUUAGCGGCGGACGGGUGAGUAACACGUGGAUAACCUACCUAUAAGACUGGGAUAACUUCGGGAAACCGGGGCUAAUACCGGAUAAUAUAUUGAACCGCAUGGUUCAAUAGUGAAAGACGGUUUUGCUGUCACUUAUAGAUGGAUCCGCGCCGCAUUAGCUAGUUGGUAAGGUAACGGCUUACCAAGGCAACGAUGCGUAGCCGACCUGAGAGGGUGAUCGGCCACACUGGAACUGAGACACGGUCCAGACUCCUACGGGAGGCAGCAGUAGGGAAUCUUCCGCAGAGGGCGAAAGCCUGACGGAGCAACGCCGCGUGAGUGAUGAAGGUCUUCGGAUCGUAAAACUCUGUUAUUAGGGAAGAACAAAUGUGUAAGUAACUAUGCACGUCUUGACGGUACCUAAUCAGAAAGCCACGGCUAACUACGCG